AAGUCGAGGCUGCAGUGAGCCGUGAUCGUGCCACUGAACUCCAGUCUGGGCGACAGAACAAGACACUGACUCAAAACAAAACAAAACAAAAGGCAAAGUCAAAAUUUGGAUGUUCAGUAUGUUCAUUGCUACUUACACACACGCGCACGCAUGCAAACACACACAUUCACAACAUAGUUUUAUCAGAAUACACCUAUUCCGAUAGCAGAAUCUAAAGCUUACAUAAGUGUUCAAGCUUUGGAUUCUGCUGUUCUCUGGAUUACUCAUCCCCAGUUUUCCAAUCCAUCAAUAAGGAUAGCCUUAAUUACCUAAUAAGCAUUUUAUGAGUAUUUCAAAAAAUAAUGCAUUUUAAUGAAAAAUUCUUAGAAUAGUUCUUGGCACAUAAGUCAUAUUUAAAUGUCUCCACUGCCUAAUUCAUACAGAUCGUACCCAAGUGAAAGUGUAUCUAUGAAGAAUAAAAAUGAAAACAGGAAGUGAGACAGUAAAAGGAGGACGUUAUUUAGAUUUGAUAGCAUGGUUUCCAAAGGCAGUGUCCUUUUACAAGCGUUCAGGUAAAUAACACAUUAUUGGCAGAGACAGAUGGCAAAGCUAUUUUAGAAAUAAAGAUGAACCGGGUAAGUACAUGGCAGUUUUGGGAAGACAAUGUAAUGUACCCUUUUUCCGGAGUUUACUUCAAUGUAGAAGUACUUUAAAAAGUUAGAAAAUAGGGUACAUAUUAGGUAAAAGGGAAUCUUGCAAAAAUGGAUCCAGCAAAUAUUAGUGAAGAGAAAAAGAUGAUCAGAACUCUGAGUUUCAGUGAUUUGUCUUGUACCAUAUUUAAGCUAUAAUAACUGAAGAUAGGAAAUCAACCAAAAAACCGUCUGCAAGGUGAUGGCAUCGUUUAAAAAAAUAGAGAAACAUUACUGCCAACUUAAAUUGGAAACAAAUUGGAAACUAUUUUUAAAGUUAUAUAAAUACCAAAUUUCAAAAGGAUUGCCUGAUAUCAGAAUGGGAAUUUCUAGUAGAAAGCUGAACAAAAUGAGACUCAAGGGAGACAGUGUGGUGCUAAGACUGGGUAGAAUAAUUCAGAUCUCAACCAUGGGAAUAACACGUUGAAUAAUCAUAUGAAUAAUAACACGUCACAAUAAUCCUGUGAAUGAACAUUGGAAUUUCAGCAUGCAAAGAGGCAGCAUUGUUAUUGCCAAAAUAGUUGAGUAGAAAGGAAUUUGUUGAUGAGUGAUUUCAAGAUACAUUUCUCUGAGCAUCAAUGUGCCCAUUUUGAAAAUGCAAUAAUAAACAGCCCUCACAUAAUUGUGAAGAAUAAAAGCAGAUUAUUUGAAGUGUCUACCACUUUGCUGAUAGGGAUUCAACAAAAUUAAGUUUUUCAUGCCAAAGUGUAGAAUUAUCAAUCAUUGCCUCACGGGACAUCAACAAUGUUGAUAAGUAGUAGAGAGGUUGACUUGAUAUUAGAUAACAGUAGGUGACCAGUGAGCCAAGACAUUCACUUCUUUGGCUUUCCUUCAGUAAAGUAAGUUACCUAAAAUCUGAAUUAGAGUAAGCAGAUGUUGACAGGGAUACAUGAAUAGGAAAGGCAUGCAGAGACUUAAGAAAGAAGGCAUCUGGGACAUUUGCCAAGAAGGAUUACAGGCAGGUUUUAUGCAUGCAAACCUGGAUGAUGCAUAUGGAUCGCUUACUGUGCUGACUUCGUUCAGAGGUGGUAUAAUUAGACAGAGAGAUAAAGCCGCAAAUGUGACUUAACGUGGGCACAGACUAUGAGAUAGGUGGCAUUUGUAGCAGGAAAAUGUAAGGGCCAGUUCCAGAGGUUUGCACUGUAGCAGUCCAUUGUGAUGACAAGAUCCUGGAAUUCAUCACGAGAAAGAGUGAAUCAUGUGGAGAAGAAAAGUGAAAACAAGAAGGAUGAACCCACUCUGGUGGAAUUUAUGUCUUCCUCCCUUCUUAAUUUUGACUGUGAAUAAAUCUUGUUGCCAAAGAAAAGGUCAUUACUAAUAGCAUCAGUCACGGAUGAAAACAGACUAGAAAACUUGUUUGUUUUAUUGAACAUGAUUCAGCAGCAGAGGUGAUUUGAAAUAUUCAAUAGGAAAGGAAUUCAUGCAUGCAUAAAAUGUGUUGGGGCAAACCCUACUGGAAGCUUGUUUGGGUCAUAGGUCUUCCUGGUUUUUUCAUUUGUGCAGCCUCUUGACAGGUCAUCACUACUUUCUAAUUCUAAGUUCUGAAAAUUGUUAUAAGGGGAGAUGAACCUUCUUUGUGUGCUUGAAGAAUACCGAACAUAUGGGCCUUGGUGGUUGAGAAGACCAUGGAAGCCUAAAAGAACAAAUUUGCCCUCUCCCAGCCUUGCUUGCAAUUAACUAUUAAAGUUCUACGGAUGAUACACA